GUUGUCGACGAUGAUGAUCUGGUCUCCUACAUUAUUGCCGACCUUGAUGAAGACUUUGAGCCGGUGAUCUCCAUCGUUGGCAAGGACUCGAUGACGGUGGGAGAAGCCUUUGCUCAACUUCUUAAUUUCGAGC
rnacentral:snoRNA from 1 species